rnacentral:rRNA from 1 species
AGUAGGGAAUAUUGCGCAAUGGACGAAAGUCUGACGCAGCAACGCCGCGUGGAUGAUGAAGCUCUUUGGAGUGUAAAAACCUGUCAGCGGGGAAGAAACGUAUAAGUAGUAACUGACUUAUACCUGACGGUACCCGCAGAGGAAGUCCCGGCUAACUCCGUGCCAGCAGCCGCGGUAAUACGGGGGGGACAAGCGUUGUUCGGAUUCACUGGGCGUAAAGGGCGCGUAGGCGGAUUCUCAAGUCGGAUGUGAAAUCUUGCAGCUCAACUGCAAGCCUGCAUUCGAAACUGGGGAUCUUGAGUACAGUAGAGGAAAGCGGAAUUCCAGGUGUAGCGGUGAAAUGCGUAGAUAUCUGGAAGAACACCAGUAGCGAAGGCGGCUUUCUGGGCUGAUACUGACGCUGAAGCGCGAAGGCUUGGGUAGCAAACAGGAUUAGAUACCCUGGUAGUCCAAGCGGUAAACGAUGGGUACUAGGUGUCGGGGGUAUCGACCCCCUCGGUGCCGCAGCUAACGCAUUAAGUACCCCGCCUGGGGAGUACGAUCGCAAGAUUGAAACUCAAAGGAAUUGACGGGGGCCCGCACAAGCGGUGGAGUAUGUGGUUUAAUUCGAGGCAACGCGAAGAACCUUACCUGGGUUUGACAUGCAAGUGACUGCUGGUGAAAGCCAGUUUUCCUUCGGGACACUUGCACAGGUGCUGCAUGGCUGUCGUCAGCUCGUGCCGUGAGGUGUUGGGUUAAGUCCCGCAACGAGCGCAACCCUUGUCCAUAGUUGCCAUCAGGUAACGCUGGGGACUCUAUGGAGACUGCCGGUGAUAAGCUGGAGGAAGGUGGGGAUGACGUCAAGUCCUCAUGGCCCUUAUGCCCAGGGCUACACACGUACUACAAUGGUCGGUACAGAAGGUCGCAAUACCGUGAGGUGGAGCUAAUCCCAAAAACCGGCCUCAGUUCAGAUUGGAGUCUGCAACUCGACUCCAUGAAGGCGGAAUCGCUAGUAAUCGCUGAUCAGCAGGCAGCGGUGAAUACGUUCCCGGGCCUUGUACACACCGCCCGUCAAGCCAUGGAAGUUGGGAGCACCCGAAGUCGUUUGCUUAACCGUAAGGAGAGCGGCGCCUAAGGUGAUACCGAUGACUAGGGCU